rnacentral:rRNA from 1 species
CCUACGGGCGGCAGCAGUGAGGAAUAUUGGUCAAUGGCCGUAAGGCUGAACCAGCCAAGUCGCGUGAAGGAAGAAGGACCUAUGGUUUGUAAACUUCUUUUAUAGGGGAAUAAAGGUAUCCACGUGUGGCUCUUUGCAUGUACCCUAUGAAUAAGCAUCGGCUAACUCCGUGCCAGCAGCCGCGGUAAUACGGAGGAUGCGAGCGUUAUCCGGAUUUAUUGGGUUUAAAGGGUGCGUAGGUUGUUUUUUAAGUCAGCGGUGAAAGUUGGUGGCUCAACCAUAAAAUUGCCGUUGAAACUGGAACACUUGAGUGUGUGUGAGGUAGGCGGAAUGCGUGGUGUAGCGGUGAAAUGCAUAGAUAUCACGCAGAACUCCGAUUGCGAAGGCAGCAUACUAAGCCAUAACUGACACUGAUGCACGAAAGCGUGGGGAUCAAACAGGAUUAGAUACCCGAGUAGUC